GGCCUAACACAUGCAAGUCGAACGGCAGCACGGGAGCAAUCCUGGUGGCGAGUGGCGAACGGGUGAGUAAUACAUCGGAACGUGCCCAGUAGUGGGGGAUAACCCGGCGAAAGCCGGACUAAUACCGCAUACGACCUACGGGUGAAAGCGGGGGAUCGCAAGACCUCGCGCUAUCGGAGCGGCCGAUGUCAGAUUAGCUAGUUGGUGGGGUAAAGGCCUACCAAGGCGACGAUCUGUAGCUGGUCUGAGAGGACGACCAGCCACACUGGGACUGAGACACGGCCCAGACUCCUACGGGAGGCAGCAGUGGGGAAUUUUGGACAAUGGACGCAAGCCUGAUCCAGCCAUGCCGCGUGCGGGAAGAAGGCCUUCGGGUUGUAAACCGCUUUUGUCAGGGAAGAAAAGCACCGAUCUAAUACAACGGUGUCAUGACGGUACCUGAAGAAUAAGCACCGGCUAACUACGUGCCAGCAGCCGCGGUAAU
rnacentral:rRNA from 1 species